rnacentral:misc_RNA from 1 species
GAUGAAGAACGUAGCGAAAUGCGAUAAGUAAUGUGAAUUGCAGAAUUCAGUGAAUCAUCGAAUCUUUGAACGCACAUUGCGCCCGCCAGUAUUCUGGCGGGCAUGCCUGUCCGAGCGUCAUUUCAACCCUCGAACCCCUCCGGGGGGUCGGCGUUGGGGACCUCGGGAGCCCCUAAGACGGGAUCCCGGCCCCGAAAUACAGUGGCGGUCUCGCCGCAGCCUCUCCUGCGCAGUAGUUUGCACAACUCGCACCGGGAGCGCGGCGCGUCCACGUCCGUAAAACACCCAUCUUCUGAAAUGUUGACCUCGGAUCAGGUAGGAAUACCCGCUGAACUUAAGCAUAUCAAUAAGCGGAGGA